rnacentral:rRNA from 1 species
UACGGAGGGUGCAAGCGUUAUCCGGAUUCACUGGGUUUAAAGGGUGCGUAGGAGGGCAGGUAAGUCAGUGGUGAAAUCCCCGAGCUUAACUUGGGAACUGCCGUUGAUACUAUCUGUCUUGAAUACCGUGGAGGUGAGCGGAAUAUGUCAUGUAGCGGUGAAAUGCUUAGAUAUGACAUAGAACAACCAAUUGCGAAGGCAGCUCGCUACACGAAUAUUGACUCUGAGGCACGAAAAGCGUGGGGAUCAAACAGG